rnacentral:rRNA from 1 species
AUGACGCCGCCCCCGUCGUCCCAGCCCCUCCUCCUGCUCACCCACCAGCUCCUCUCCGCCGUCUCCGUCCUCGUCCUCGACCUCCUCGGCCCCUCCCCCGACCCCGACGCCGCCCGCAAGCGCAGGCGGACCGACGGCGACGGCGACGAGGCCGGCCCCGCGACCCCCGUCGCCCCGCCUCCUCCCCUGCCCCCGCCUUCGCCGCUGCUGCCGCUGCCGCCGACGAGCCCGGACCACUACCCGCUGGCCUUCCGCGUGUCCGCGCCCACCUUCCACUACCUCUCGGGCCUGCUCGACCCGCUGCUCUCCCACCCCUCGCUCCCGUGCCCGACCCUCCUCGCGCUCGCCCUCGCGCGCCUCGCCUCCGGCCUCCCCUACCCGGCGCUCGCCGCGCUCUUCCGCGUCCCGCCCUCCGCGCCGCGGGCCGCCUCCCGCCGCCUCCGCCGCGUCCUCCUCGCCAACUUCCGCUUCUGGCUCGCCUUCCCCUCCGAUCCGGCCGGCGCCUCCUCCUCCCCGCUCCCCUCCUGCCGCGGCGCGCUCGCCUGCGCGCGCUUCGCCGGCCCGGGCGGGCCCCUCGCCGCGCAGCUCGUCGCCGGCGCCUCCUCCCGCAUCCUCUCCCUCGCCGCCGGCUUCCGCGGCGACCGCGCCGACCUCGAGGUGCUCAGGCUCUCGUCCCUGCACCAGGAGCUGGAGCAGGGGAAGCUACUCAACCCCGCGCAGUACCUGGUUGCGGAUGGAAACGGGUACCCGCUCCUCCGCUGGCUCAUGCUGCCCUUCGAGGGGCCUGUCGUGCCCGGCUCGCCGGAGGCCCAUUUCAACACUGCCCACAAGGCAAUGUGCCGCCCGGCGAGGCGCGCCAUCCGGAGCCUGAUGGGGUGGGGCGCCAUCGCGCGGCUCCACGAGGAGGAGAGCCCUCGCGCCGCCGUGACGUGCAUUGGGACCUGCGCGAUGCUCCACAAUGUGCUGCUGGCGAGGGAGGAUUACUCUGCAUUGGCACCGGAGGAGGGGGAGGAAGAAGCAGAGACUGAUUUGGGGGCAAUGCAGAGCCGGAGAGAUCAUGCCGCAGAGGAAGGGUUCAAGGUUGAUAAGCGGGCAGUAGCGCUGCGGAGCGCAUUGGCAGCAACGAUGAAUGAUUGGCGGACGCCGGCCUAA